rnacentral:lncRNA from 1 species
GGGGUCUAUGGGGUGAUGGGGUGUUUAUGGGGGUCUAAUGGGGUUAUGGUGGGGGUCUAUGGAGGUCUAUGGGGCUAUGGGUGGUUAUGGGUGUUUUAAAUGGGUCUAUGGGGUCUAUGGGGUUAUGGGACGGGGUUAUGGGGUGUUUAUGGGGUCUAUGGGGUCUAUGGGGUUAUGGGGUGGUUAUGGGGUGGUUAUGAGUGUUAUUGAGGUGGUUAUGGGUUCAUGGGGGGUUAUGGGGUCUAUGCGGUCUAUGGGGUUAUGGCGGUGGUUUGGGGGCGUUAUGGGGGUUGUUUAUGGGUCUAUGGGGUCUAUGGCGGUUGGUAUAUGGGGUGCGUUAUGCAGGUUAAUGCAGGUGGUUUAUGGGGUCUAUGGGUCUAUGGGGUUAUGGGGGUUUAUGGGGUCUAUGGGGUUAUGGGGUGUUUAUGGGGUCGGAUAUGGGGUUUGGGGUGUUUAUAGUGGUCAUAUGGGCGUCUAUGGGGUUAUGGGAGUUGGAUAUGGGUUAUGGGGGUGUUUAUGGGUCUAUGCGGGUCUAGGGGGUUAUUGGGCGUGGAUAUGCGGGUUAUUGGGGAGUGUUGUUAUUGGCGUCUAUUGGGGGGUCUAUGGGGUUAUAGGCGUGGUUAUGGGUGGUUAUGGGGUUUAUUGGGGUGAUUUAGUGGGGUCUUAUGGGGUUAUUGGGGUGGGUUAUGGGGUGGUUUAUGAGGUAAUGGGGGGGUUAUGGGGGGUGGUUAUGGGGUGGUGUAUGCGGUGGAUAUGGGGUUAUUGAGGUGGUUUAUGGGUUAUGGGCGUUUGGGAGGUUAUGGGGGGAUUUAGGGCUAUGGGGGUAUGGGUUAUGGGGUAUUGGGGUGUUUAUGGGGGUCUAUGGGGCCUAUGGGGUUAUGGGGUGGUUAUGGGGUUAUGGGGUGUUUAUGGGGUCUAUGGGGUCUAUGGGGUUAUGGGGUGGUUAUGGGGUUAUGGGGUGUUUAUGGGUCUAGUGCGGGUCUAUGGGGUUAUGGGGGGGUUUGCUACGGCGGUCUAUGGCGGUUAUGGGGGUUUUAUGGGGGUGU